GAUGAAGAACGUAGUGAAAUGCGAUAAGUAAUGUGAAUUGCAGAAUUCAGUGAACCAUCGAAUCUUUGAACGCACAUUGCGCCCGGCAGUAAUCUGCCGGGCAUGCCUGUCCGAGCGUCAUUUCUCCCCUCGAGCGCAGCUUUCCCCCCCGGGGGAGGGCCGCGCCCGGUGCUGGGGCGCUACGGAGGAGCCCAGCGCUCCCCCGUAGGCCCCGAAAUGUAGUGGCGGUCCCGCCGCGGCGCCCCCUGCGUAGUAGUUUUACAACUCGCAUCGGGUCCCGGCGGAGGCCAGCCGUCAAACCCCCCAACUUCAAUAGUUUGACCUCGGAUCAGGUAGGGUUACCCGCUGAACUUAAGCAUAUCAAUAAGCGGAGGA
rnacentral:misc_RNA from 1 species